rnacentral:rRNA from 1 species
CGAGUCUUAACUGGGCGUUAAGUUGCAGGGUAUAGACCCGAAACCCGGUGAUCUAGCCAUGGGCAGGUUGAAGGUUGGGUAACACUAACUGGAGGACCGAACCGACUAAUGUUGAAAAAUUAGCGGAUGACUUGUGGCUGGGGGUGAAAGGCCAAUCAAACCGGGAGAUAGCUGGUUCUCCCCGAAAGCUAUUUAGGUAGCGCCUCGUGAAGUCAUCUUCGGGGGUAGAGCACUGUUUCGGCUAGGGGGCCAUCCCGGCUUACCAACCCGAUGCAAACUGCGAAUACCGAAGAAUGUUAUCACGGGAGACACACGGCGGGUGCUAACGUCCGUCGUGAAGAGGGAAACAACCCAGACCGCCAGCUAAGGUCCCCAAGUCAUGGUUAAGUGGGAAACGAUGUGGGAAGGCCCAGACAGCCAGGAUGUUGGCUUAGAAGCAGCCAUCAUUUAAAGAAAGCGUAAUAGCUCACUGGUCGAGUCGGCCUGCGCGGAAGAUGUAACGGGGCUAAAACCAUGCACCGAAGCUGCGGCAGCGACACUAUGUGUUGUUGGGUAGGGGAGCGUUCUGUAAGCCGUUGAAGGUGGCCUGUGAGGGCUGCUGGAGGUAUCAGAAGUGCGAAUGCUGACAUAAGUAACGAUAAUGCGGGUGAAAAACCCGCACGCCGGAAGACCAAGGGUUCCUGUCCAACGUUAAUCGGGGCAGGGUGAGUCGACCCCUAAGGCGAGGCUGAAAAGCGUAGUCGAUGGGAAACAGGUUAAUAUUCCUGUACUGGGUGUGACUGCGAAGGGGGGACGGAGAAGGCUAUGUCAUCCGGGCGACGGUUGUCCCGGUUUAAGCGUGCAGGUGGGUGGACCAGGCAAAUCCGGUCUGCUGUGAACACUGAGGCGU